rnacentral:rRNA from 1 species
UACGGAGGGUGCAAGCGUUAAUCGGAAUUACUGGGCGUAAAGGGUGCGUAGGCGGUUGUUUAAGUCUGUUGUGAAAUCCCCGGGCUCAACCUGGGAAUGGCAAUGGAUACUGGGCAGCUAGAGUGUGUCAGAGGAUGGUGGAAUUCCCGGUGUAGCGGUGAAAUGCGUAGAGGUCGGGAGGAACAUCAGUGGCGAAGGCGGCCAUCUGGGACAACACUGACGCUGAAGCCCGAAAGCGUGGGGAGCAAACAGG